GGCUGGUCCGAAGGUAGUGAGUUAUCUCAAUUGAUUGUUCACAGUCAGUUACAGAUCGAACUCCUUGUUCUACUCUUCCCCUCUUCUCACUACUGCACUUGACUAGUCUUAA
ensembl:Y_RNA Y_RNA Y RNA